rnacentral:rRNA from 1 species
AUUGAACGCUGGCGGCAGGCUUAACACAUGCAAGUCGAACGAGUGGCGGACGGGUGAGUAAUGUCUGGGAAACUGCCCGCUGGAGGGGGAUAACUACUGGAAAAGGUAGCUAAUAACGCCUACCAUCGGAUGGGCCCAGAUGGGAUUAGCUAGUGGGUGGGGUAACGGCUAACCUAGGCGACGAUCCCUAGCUGGUCUGAGAGGAUGACCAGCCACACUGGAACUGAAGCACGGCCCAGCCUCCAACGGGAGGCAGCGUUGGGGAAUGUUGGACAGUGGGGUCAAUCCUAAUGCGACCAUGCCGCGUGGAUGAAGAAGGCCUUCGGUUUUUAAAGUACUUUCAGCGAGGAGGCGGUACUCGCAGAAGAAGCACCGGCUAACUCCGUGCCAGCAGCCGCGGUAAUAC